rnacentral:rRNA from 1 species
CCUACGGGAGGCAGCAGUGGGGAAUAUUGCACAAUGGGGGAAACCCUGAUGCAGCGACGCCGCGUGAGUGAAGAAGUAUUUCGGUAUGUAAAGCUCUAUCAGCAGGGAAGAAAAUUACGGUACCUGAUUACGACGCCCCGGCUAACUACGUGCCAGCAGCCGCGGUAACACGUAGGGGGCAAGCGUUAUCCGGAUUUGUUGGGUUUAAAGGGUGCGCAGGCGGAAGAUCAAGUCAGCGGUAAACUUGAGAGGCUCAACCUCUGCGAGCCGUUGAAACUGGUUGUCUUGAGUGAGUGAGAAGUAUGCGGAAUGCGUGGUGUAGCGGUGAAAUGCAUAGAUAUCACGCAGAACUCCGAUUGCGAAGGCAGCAUACCGGCGCUCAACUGACGCUCAUGCACGAAAGUGUGGGUAUCGAACAGGAUUAGAUACCCGAGUAGUC